GGAGAGUUUGAGAGUGAUAUAGAGGUUGAGAGAUGGCAGGGAGAGUUUGAGAGUGAUAUAGAGGUUGAGAGAUGGCAGGGAGAGUUUGAGAGUGAUAUAGAGGUUGAGAGAUGGCAGGGAGAGUUUGAGAGUGAUAUAGAGGUUGAGAGAUGGCAGGGAGAGUUUGAGAGUGAUAUAGAGGUUGAGAGAUGGCAGGGAGAGUUUGAGAGUGAUAUAGAGGUUGAGAGAUGGCAGGGAGAGUUUGAGAGUGAUAUAGAGGUUGAGAGAUGGCAGGGAGAGUUUGAGAGUGAUAUAGAGGUUGAGAGAUGGCAGGGAGAGUUUGAGAGUGAUAUAGAGGUUGAGAGAUGGCAGGGAGAGUUUGAGAGUGAUAUAGAGGUUGAGAGAUGGCAGGGAGAGUUUGAGAGUGAUAUAGAGGUUGAGAGAUGGCAGGGAGAGUUUGAGAGUGAUAUAGAGGUUGAGAGAUGGCAGGGAGAGUUUGAGAGUGAUAUAGAGGUUGAGAGAUGGCAGGGAGAGUUUGAGAGUGAUAUAGAGGUUGAGAGAUGGCAGGGAGAGUUUGAGAGUGAUAUAGAGGUUGAGAGAUGGCAGGGAGAGUUUGAGAGUGAUAUAGAGGUUGAGAGAUGGCAGGGAGAGUUUGAGAGUGAUAUAGAGGUUGAGAGAUGGCAGGGAGAGUUUGAGAGUGAUAUAGAGGUUGAGAGAUGGCAGGGAGAGUUUG